GACGAACGCUGGCGGCGUGCUUAACACAUGCAAGUCGAACGGAAAGGCCCUGCUUGCCGGGUACUCGAGUGGCGAACGGGAGCGUAACACGUGGGUGAUCUGCUCUGCACUUCGGGAUAAGCCUGGGAAACUGGGUCUAACACCGGAUAGGAGCCAUUUUUAGUGUGAUGGUUGGAAUGUUCUUUAGGUGUAGGAUGAGGUCGUGGCCUAUAAGCUUGUUGGUGGGGUAAUGGACUACCAAGGCGGCGACAGGUAGCCGGACUGAGAGGAUGGACAGCCACGUUGGGGCUGGGAUAAGGCGCAAAAUCCUGCGGGGGACAGUAGGGGGGAAUAUUACUCAGUGGGCGCAAGCCUGAUGCAGCGAGGCCGCGUGGGGGAUGACGGCCUUCGGGUUGUAAACCCCUGUCACUAGGAACGAAGCUUUUUGUGACAGUACCUAGAGAAGAAGAGCCGGCUAACUACGUG
rnacentral:rRNA from 1 species